GGACGACCUGGAGAGGUCUGUUGCCUGAAUGAGAGUCACUGAGUUUACACUGCAGGACAGCAGCUCCCAAGACCAAGGCCCUGCGAUUCCCAGAGGCCGUCGGACGGCCGCAUGCCUUGGCGUGAACGGUGGGCGUGGAGAAGGACCCAGAGUCUGGAGCCUACAUCCUGGAGGACUGUGGACCUGAACUUUGGUUAAACACAAACAAGUCCCAAGAAAAGGGAAAGUGAAAACCAGAGGCACUGGAGGGAUCACAACAAAAAGCACCUUGAGAAGCACAGCACCUACAAGACAGCAGCGCAGCAUGGCCGGCUCCCUGCCUCAAGCAUCAGGUGGCCGGCUCCCAGCCUCAAGCACCAGGCAGGCUAACCCAGGUUCCAAGAGGGGGCAGGUCAACACUGGAUUAAACUCCAGGAGGCUGGG
rnacentral:antisense_RNA from 1 species